rnacentral:rRNA from 1 species
UACGUAGGGUGCGAGCGUUAAUCGGAAUUACUGGGCGUAAAGCGUGCGCAGGCGGUUAUUUAAGUCAGGUGUGAAAGCCCUGGGCUUAACCUAGGAAUUGCGCUUGAGACUGGAUAGCUUGGAGUGCGGCAGAGGGAGGUGGAAUUCCACGUGUAGCAGUGAAAUGCGUAGAGAUGUGGAGGAACACCGAUGGCGAAGGCAGCCUCCUGGGCCAGCACUGACGCUCAUGCACGAAAGCGUGGGGAGCAAACAGAU